UUGCAAAUAUUCUUGCUGUUCUAAUUUUAUAGUUACCAGGGCAUGCUAAACCUUCAUUGUAAGAGUGCUCUGCAUGUGACGCAAAACUAGUUUUUUGCCUUGCUAGAUCUGGUCUUAUAAAUGCUGUUUAUAAAU